rnacentral:rRNA from 1 species
AUUGAACGCUGGCGGCAUGCCUUACACAUGCAAGUCGAACGGCAGCGGGCCUUCGGGUGCCGGCGAGUGGCGAACGGGUGAGUAAUGCAUCGGAACGUGCCAUUGAGUGGGGGGAUAACGUAGCGAAAGUUACACUAAUACCGCAUAUUCUGUGAGCAGGAAAGCAGGGGACCGCAAGGCCUUGCGCUCUUUGAGCGGCCGAUGUCAGAUUAGCUAGUUGGUGAGGUAAAGGCUUACCAAGGCGACGAUCUGUAGCGGGUCUGAGAGGAUGAUCCGCCACACUGGAACUGAGACACGGUCCAGACUCCUACGGGAGGCAGCAGUGGGGAAUUUUGGACAAUGGGCGCAAGCCUGAUCCAGCCAUGCCGCGUGAGUGAAGAAGGCCUUCGGGUU